ACCAACAGGGAUUGCCUCAGUAGCGGCGAGUGAAGCGGCAAAAGCUCAAAUUUGAAAUCUGGCGUCUUUGGCGUCCGAGUUGUAAUUUGAAGAAGGUAUCUUUGGGCCCGGCUCUUGUCUAUGUUCCUUGGAACAGGACGUCACAGAGGGUGAGAAUCCCCUGCGAUGAGAUGACCCGGGUCUGUGUAAAGUUCCUUCGACGAGUCGAGUUGUUUGGGAAUGCAGCUCUAAGUGGGUGGUAAAUUCCAUCUAAAGCUAAAUAUUGGCGAGAGACCGAUAGCGAACAAGUACAGUGAUGGAAAGAUGAAAAGAACUUUGAAAAGAGAGUGAAAAAGUACGUGAAAUUGUUGAAAGGGAAGGGCUUGAGAUCAGACUUGGUAUUUUGCAUGUUGCUCUCUCGGGGGCGGCCGCUGCGGUUUACCGGGCCAGCAUCGGUUUGGAGCGGCAGGAUAAUGGCGGAGGAAUGUGGCACGGCUUCUGCUGUGUGUUAUAG
rnacentral:rRNA from 1 species